UAUCUGCAUGACUGAAUGCUUCUUUCCCAACAGUUACAUACACCAAUUGAAUUAAGCAGGUGUUCCUUUGGGGACCAUCUCUACAAGACAGGAAGGAUCUUACAAGGCUUGGAGGCAGGAUAUCUGAAAGCAGGGAUGCUGAUGAGUCUUUGGGUCUGAAUCCCAAGUCCUGCCUGCUAAUAUAAUUACCACAAAUUCCUACAUAUUAUGAGUGAAUUUCCUACAGAGGAGAGUUCUGCUGUGUCUCACCAUCCUAAGAGAUCAGAUUGGCAAGUAGUACACAAGACUGGACUUUUUCUGAAGCAAAACAUGUAGCAACACUUUCCCUCCAAGGAAAGUCAGGCUGGCUUCAUCCCUC